rnacentral:rRNA from 1 species
GACGAACGCUGGCGGCGUGCUUAACACAUGCAAGUCGAACGGAAAGGCCCUGCUUUUGUGGGGUGCUCGAGUGGCGAACGGAUGAGUAACACGUGAGUAACCUGCCCUUGACUUUGGGAUAACUUCAGGAAACUGGGGCUAAUACUGGAUAGGAGCUCCUGCUGCAUGGUGGGGGUUGGAAAGUUUCGGCGGUUGGGGAUGGACUCGCGGCUUAUCAGCUUGUUGGUGGGGUAGUGGCUUACCAAGGCUUUGACGGGUAGCCGGCCUGAGAGGGUGACCGGCCACAUUGGGACUGAGAUACGGCCCAGACUCCUACGGGAGGCAGCAGUGGGGAAUAUUGCACAAUGGGCGGAAGCCUGAUGCAGCAACGCCGCGUGCGGGAUGACGGCCUUCGGGUUGUAAACCGCUUUCGCCUGUGACGAAGCGUGAGUGACGGUAAUGGGUAAAGAAGCACCGGCUAACUACGUG